rnacentral:misc_RNA from 1 species
UUUCCGUAGGUGAACCUGCGGAAGGAUCAUUAUUGUAUAACCGAGGUGCGAGGGCUGUCGCUGACCCUAAAGUUCGUGCACGCCCGAGUGCCCUCACACACAUCCAUCUCACCCCUAUGUGCACCACCGCGUGGGUCCCCCUUUGGCUUGUUCGGAGGGGGGCUUACGUUUUCACACAAACUUUGUAUGCAGUGUAGAAUGUAUUUUUUGUUUUUGCGAUCACGCAAUCAAUACAACUUUCAACAACGGAUCUCUUGGCUCUC